rnacentral:ncRNA from 1 species
UGAUCGGCGUCACCUUGGCGGGAUGACUAGAAUAGAUCGAACACUCUGUCUCAAUGGGCGUGUCGCCGUGACCCAACGGUGGAUACG